rnacentral:rRNA from 1 species
GACGAACGCUGGCGGCGUGCUUAACACAUGCAAGUCGAACGGAAAGGCCCUGCUUUUGCGGGGUGCUCGAGUGGCGAACGGGUGAGUAACACGUGAGUAACCUGCCCUUGACUUUGGGAUAACUUCAGGAAACUGGGGCUACUACCGGCUAGGAGCUCCUGCUGCAUGGUGGGGGUUGGAACGUUUCGGCGGUUGGGGAUGGACUCGCGGCUUAUCAGCUUGUUGGUGGAGUAGUGGCUUACCAAGGCUUUGACGGGUAGCCGGCCUGAGAGGGUGACCGGCCACAUGGGGACUACGGUACGGACCAGACUCCUACGGGAGACAGCGGUGGGGAAUAUUGCACAAUGGGCGGAAGCCUGAGACGGCAGCGCCGCGUGCGGGAUGACGGCCUGCGGGUUGUAAACCGCUGUCGCCUGUGACGAAGCGGAAGUGACGGUAAUGGGUAAAGAAGCACCGGCUAACUACGUG